AUCCUUGUUUGACUAGAUAGGGCACUUGACUGUCGCAAUGAAAUGGGCUAAGAAACAACUUACAUAGGACACUGGUGCUGAAGCUUCCAGAACACUGCAUAAUUCCAUGGAGAUUUGAAGCAGAGACUUUCAAGGAAAUGCCUCAAGGAAGCAGCACUCAUUCUUCUUUAUUCUAAAUAAAUCAAAAGCUCCAAAAUUCAGAAAAUAGCAACCCAAUUUACCACCAACUACCAGACUAACUUCCUCGAUAUGAUCCUCGCCCGGCCUGAACUAUAAAUAAACCAGCUCUGCGUUUCAUUGGGGGUUCAGUUGAAGUCAAAAGCAACAUGUCCAUUCUUUUAAUGAUCUCUCCAAUUAUCAGAAAGCAAAUUGAUAGAAAGGGCAUAAAAACAGAUUUAGUGCAGGAAAUUAAGGAGAUAGCAAGGCUCAGAACACGUCCAUCAGUUUAACACCAACAGAGAAGCAAAUAAUGCAGUAAAUGCUGAUCAAAGAACAAGACAAGCAGAGAAGAAGCCUCAAUCCUAUCCACAGCGACUCGAUGCUUCCACUAAAUAACCGAGAGAGAAUCCAAAACUCAAAGCCAGAUCCACGGGAUAAAGAGCUAAUUGUUUAACGAACAGAGAGAAGCUUCAAAGGAAAGAACUUUUGUAAACUUCGAAUUGUUUAGCGUCCAUAAUUAGUAACUCGAAUUGAACUCCUUCUUCUACUUCCACAACGCAACGUAAAAAAGUAAAUCAAUGAAAUGAGUACCGCUAAGAGCUUUCAAGAGACGAAGAACGACGACGACGACGAACUCAUUUUCCGGCAGAAAUCUCAGUGUUGUUUAGCACCGGCGGCAACAAGGAGAG
rnacentral:misc_RNA from 1 species